rnacentral:tRNA from 1 species
GUUCAAAUCUUGCUCUGCCCG